UCAAACAUCAGCUCAGUGGCGGAGCCAGGAAUUCAAUCUACGUCUCUUGACUCUCAGUUCAGUACCCAAAGAACUGGAGAUUAUAUGGAAGCAUCUGAAUAAACAAGAAUCCUAGCUUCUAGAAAAAAUCCAAUGUUCUCAAUGACAACUCUUACAUUGAUGAUCAUUCUAAUGGGGAAAACAAUUCAGCAUUCAUUCAGACUAUAAUAGAAUUCUUCCCAUCUUAUGAAUACAUGAUGCUGCACUCUGGGUUGGCAAAAAAGAUAGCUGUUUAUAUCCAAUAUGGCAUACUGCAGCAGAGAAAGUUAUGAUGAGUCUCAUUCAUUGGGUACAUGGCUUCACUUCUGGACUCAAA